GACAGAGGGCGCGAGCGUUGUUCGGAAUCACUGGGCGUAAAGCGCGCGCAGCCGGAUUUCCAAGUCGGAAGUGAAAUGCUGGGGCUCAACCCCAGCACUGCUUCCGAAACUGGGAGUCUAGAGAUCGGUAGAGGCCGGUGGAAUUGCAGGUGUAGCGGUGGAAUGCGUAGAGAUCUGCAAGAACACCCGUGGCGAAGGCGGCCGGCUGGGCCGGUCCUGACGCUGAGGCGCGAAAGCGUGGGGAGCAAACAGG
rnacentral:misc_RNA from 1 species